rnacentral:lncRNA from 1 species
ACACAAUUGAUGGAGGAAUGAGACACCAUGGAAAAACAAAUGAAAAUCUGUUCAAUAUUAAGAAAAUGUCAAGUGUGAAAAAGAAGUAAUGUUGGGGGGAAAGCAAUGAUGAGGUCAUCAGAUCUGUCAGCACUGUCACUUCAUGAAUUACAAAAACUUAACAGGACUCUAUGUAAAUAUCCAGUGAAUGUUAAUUGUUGUGCUAUUUUAACUUCAAAGGAAUGGAAGAAGCAGAGAGGCCACGAAUGGGAGUAAAGUCUAAUCAUGAUUUAAAGGG